AUCCAGCUGACGAGUCCUAAAUAGGACGAAACGCGCGUCCUGGAC
rfam:Schistosoma curassoni strain Dakar, Senegal genome assembly, scaffold: SCTD_scaffold0005533